rnacentral:misc_RNA from 1 species
GUAGGUGAACCUGCGGAAGGAUCAUUACAGAGUUAGGGUCUCUUCAGGCCCGACCUCCAACCCAAUGUGUACCUAUCCCUGUUGCUUUGGCGGGCCCGCUGGGGUGACCCACCGGUGGCCUUUGGCUUCCGAGUGCCCGUCAGAGACCCAUCCAAACCCGUUAAUUGUGUCGUCUGAGUACCAAUGUAAUAAUUAAAACUUUCAACAACGGAUCUCUUGGUUCUG